UACAGAGUUACUACUCCAAACCCAUUGUGAACCUUACCUAUGUUCUGUUGCCUCGGCGGCGUGGUCAGCGCCCCCUCUGAAAAGAGGACGAUGCCCUCCCGCCGGCAGCACCAAACUCUUUGAAUUUUACAGCGGAUUACAGUUCUGAUUUGAAAACAAAAAACAAGUUAAAACUUUCAACAACGGAUCUCUUGGUUCUGGCAUCGAUGAAGAACGCAGCGAAAUGCGAUAAGUAAUGUGAAUUGCAGAAUUCAGUGAAUCAUCGAAUCUUUGAACGCACAUUGCGCCCGGCAGUAAUCUGCCGGGCAUGCCUGUCCGAGCGUCAUUUCAACCCUCGAACCUCCGUUUCCUCAGGGAAGCUCAGGGUCGGUGUUGGGGCGCUACGGCGAGUCUUCGCGACCCUCCGUAGGCCCUGAAAUACAGUGGCGGUCCCGCCGCGGUUGCCUUCUGCGUAGUAAGUCUCUUUUGCAAGCUCGCAUUGGGUCCCGGCGGAGGCCUGCCGUCAAACCACCUAUAACUCCAGAUGGUU
rnacentral:rRNA from 1 species